rnacentral:lncRNA from 1 species
UGAGGAGAUAAGGCUGGUAUCUUUGGUCAGUAUCUGGUGAGGAAGAAGAGUAUCUGUGGGUGAGUCAAAGCUCUGCCAAAUCACCGUCUUCUCCCAAGCAUAUAGAACAAGAUUGCCGGUGUUAAGGAGCUGUAAUCUCGCAGAUGAGGUUGAAACUGUCACGCCCCAAGACCCACUCCAAGGGCGUGACGGUCAUUUCACACCUCAAACCCGAAGGCUUAAAGUAUAAUCUGACCCGAACAAUCAUAUUAUAACUAGAUGUUACCAAUUACCAAAUACCUGUUCAGAGUAGCAGAACAAAAUCUAAAUUCCUCAAAAUUCAAUUUCCAAAUAACUUCCAAAUAUCAAAUGAUCCAAAUGAACAUAACUAACAGUUAAACAAAAUCCAACAUAAAAUCCUAAGUCAAAUCUUAAUGAUGACCAUUCUUCAGCCUAGCCAUCACUCCUCACCCGAACUAAGAGUACCUGAAAAUUUUCAACAAUUGGGAAUGAGCUCACAGCCCAAUAAGGAAUAUUAAUGCAAUUCAUGGAUCAAAUAUUUUCAUUUCAAAUAGGAGAUAUCAAUUUUUUUUUUUCUCAUCAAAUAUCAGAGUUCCAAAAAUACCAAUAUAUUCAAAAUUCAACCAACCAAUUUCAUAUCAAAUUCAAACACUUUCACAUAAAAUUCAAUCAAAUUCAUUCAAGUUUCAUUACUCUGGUUAUCAAAUAUCAAAUGCCCAGUUAGGUGGGACUUUUCAAAUGGGUGGCUAGCCUCAAAUUGUUCCUGGUGGACGGAACCUAAACACNNNNNNNNNNNNNNNNNNNNNNNNNNNNNNNNNNNNNNNNNNNNNNNNNNNNNNNNNNNNNNNNNNNNNNNNNNNNNNNNNNNNNNNNNNNNNNNNNNNNCCGAACUAAGAGUACUGAAAAUUUUCACAAUUGGGAAUGAGCUCACAGCCCAAUAAGGAAUAUUAAUGCAAUUCAUGGAUCAAAUAUUUUCAUUUCAAAUAGGAGAUAUCAAUUUUUUUUUUUCUCAUCAAAUAUCAGAGUUCCAAAAAUACCAAUAUAUUCAAAAUUCAACCAACCAAUUUCAUAUCAAAUUCAAACACUUUCACAUAAAAUUCAAUCAAAUUCAUUCAAGUUUCAUUACUCUGGUUAUCAAAUAUCAAAUGCCCAGUUAGGUGGGACUUUUCAAAUGGGUGGCUAGCCUCAAAUUGUUCCUGGUGGACGGAACCAAACACUACUAGUACUAGUAACCUCUAACCAAACCCCUAGAGGCUGGGGUCCAAAUCAAUUACAUUCCCACCAUGAAAUGUAAAGGUCAACUAUUAUAUCCCGUUGAUAGGGCCGAAUAGUCAAUUAUUAUAUCCCGUUGACAAGGGUCAAAUAAACCAGAGUGAUGUUUUUGUUCAAGUUUUCAAAUUUACACAACAUAAUAUCUCCAUAUUUUGUGUCAUAAAUAAAACAAAAUAUUCCAACAUAACAUUUAGUGCAAAACAAUUUGAUCCAUGCAUGGUAACAAAAUAUCAUUUUCUUUUCCACAAUUCAAAAUAACAUAUAAGAUAAUUUAAUUUUAUAAAUAUUACAUUAACUUCCCUUACCUCAAAAGAAGUCCUUGAAAGCUUGGGAGAAGAAUAAUUCUGAAAAAAAAAAUAUAAUCUACUCUUCACCUAAUAUAACAUAAAAGAAACAAUUAUUACUAUUUAUUUAUAAUUUAACUAAUCUAUUCCUUAUUAAAAAAAAAUUAAAAAAUUCCCAAUUGGUUUUUAAUAUACCAUUACUAAUUUAAUUAAAUAAUACCUUUAUUUGGCUAUAAAAUUCUAUAUUUAUAUAUUUAUAUAUGGCUAAUUUUCUUUUUCUUUUUUUACCAAAAAUACCAUUUUUAUUUUUUUUUUAUUUAAAAAUUUAAAACUAAUUUUUUUUUUUUAAUUACCCAAUUCCAACCCAUCCACCUUGGGGUACACCAAACCAAAAAGCAAGUUUUUAUUUUUAUUUUUUAUUUUUUUUUCAUUCCCAACCAGGAUCCAUUAAUAUAUAUAUAUAUAUAUAUAUAUAAAAGGGGCUUCCUGGCACACGCACCUUUUUUUUUUUUUUUUAAUAAAAUUAACCCUAACCUAAAAUCAAAACCUUCCAAGAAAUUUUUUUUUUUUUCUAAUAAAACUUAAGAUCUCCCAAAUUCCAAUACUAAAAUCAAAAUAUUAAAUUUUCACUAUUUGAUAUUAAAACGAAUUAAAAAAAUAAUCUAACCCUAAUCUAGAUUUGGGGUUUUCCAAAAAAAUAUAUCUAAUGUGUUUGAAAUUAAUCAAUGAAUCUAAAAUAUUAAACUAGGGGUUAGAAUCUUACCUAUAGAGAUCUGUUCUUCAACCCUGAAAUCUGACUCCAAUCUUACGUUCUCUGGAAUUCUACGAACAGGAAAUCUAUUCAGAAAAAAAGGGAAAAAAAUAAAAUUUCUAAUUUAUACCUAGGGUAUUUAUUCGUAAAAUUACACUUUUACCCUUCUUCCACUUUAUUAAAUUAAUUAAUUAAUUAAUUUAAUUAUUAAUAACAAUUUCCUAAAUUACCCUUAAAAGAAAAUGCUUGGGCAUUACAUCCUCCCCUCCUUAACAAAAGUUUAGUCCUCUAAACUUGACAUACCUGAGUCUUGAAAUAAUUGAGGAUGUUUUUCUCUCAUCUCUUCUUCUAACUCCCAAGUGGCCUCUCGGAUACUAUGAUUGCUCCACUGGACCUUUACCAACUUGACAACAGCAUGUCGUAGUACCUUAUCCAUCAUAUCCACAAUUUGAACGGGUACCUCUUCAUAGGUCAAGUCCUCAAAAUUUUGAAUAGGCUCCAACUCCACAACAUGAGAAGGAUCAUAAAUAUACUUCCUUAGAGUCGAAACAUGAAACACAUUAUGAACCUUAGACAAGCUUGGGGGCAAGACUACUUUAUAUGCCAAAGUGCCUACUCUUUCUAAUAUUUCAAACGGACCCACAAAACGAGGACUAAGUUUUCCUUUUCUCCCAAAUCUCAUCACAUACUUCAUAGGUGAAACUUUCAAGAACACAUGAUCACCCACCUCAAACUCCAAAUCUCGCCUACGAUGAUCAGCAUAACUCUUAUGUCUACUUUGAGCUGCUUUUAAUAUUUCUUUAAUCAAAGCAACCUUUUCAACAGUCAACUGCACAAGUUCAGGCCCCAAAAGUUUCCUUUCUCCAACAUCAUUCCAAUAGAUAGGAGAUCGACAUUUCCUACCAUACAAUGCCUCAAAAGGUGUCAUCCCAAUGCUAGCUUGAAAACUAUUGUUAUAGGCAAACUCUACUAAAGGUAAAUGAUCAUCCCAAUUACCUUGCAGGUCCAAAAUACAAGCUCUCAACAAGUCUUCCAAAACCUUAAUUACCCUUUCUGAUUGGCCAUCAGUUUGAGGAUGGAAAGCAGUACUAAAACUCAACUUAGUGCCCAAAGUUUUUUGUAGACUAUGCCAGAAUCUAGAAGUGAAACGAGGAUCUCUAUCAGACACUAUAGAAACUGGUACUCCAUGCAUUCUCACAAUCUCCUUCACAUAAAGAGAAGCUAAACGAUCUAAAGAAAAGUUCACUUUCAUAGGUAAAAAGUGAGCAGACUUUGUCAACCGAUCAACAAUCACCCAAAUAGCAUUAUUACCCCCUAAGGUUCUUGGCAAUCCUAUCACAAAAUCCAUGGUAAUAUGCUCCCACUUCCACUCAGGAAUAGCAAGUGGCUGCAAAGACCCUGCUGGUCGUUGAUGUUCAGCCUUCACCUGUUGACACACUAAAUACUGAGCCACAAAUUGUGCAAUAUCACGCUUCAUACCUGACCACCAAUAGUUUUGCCUCAAAUCCUUGUACAUCUUUGUCCCUCCUGGGUGGAUUGCAAACUUGGAACAAUGAGCUUCCUCUAAAAGCUCCCUCUUUAAGUCUUCAUCAUUUGGGACACAAAGUCUAGUCCCAAAUCUCAAGAUCUCAUCAUCUGACAAAACAAAAUCAGGCUUACUGUCCCUCUUAACUUCCUCCAUAACUUGCACUAAUUGGGAAUCAUUCUUUUGUAGGGUCUUAAUUCUCCCAACUAAGUCUGGUUGUACUCUGAAAUUUGCUACAAGUGCUCCUAAGCCCAUAACUCGAAAGUGGACUUGUAAACUCCUCAACUCUUCAAGUAACUGCCUUUGACAACCUCUAAUAGCUGCUAGAGAACCAACUGACUUCCUACUCAAGGCAUCAGCUACAACAUUCGCCUUCCCAGGAUGAUACUGAAUAAUACAAUCAUAGUCCUUAAGUAGUUCUAUCCAUCUUCUCUGUCUUAUGUUCAACUCCUUUUGGGAAAAUAGAUACUUCAAACUCUUAUGAUCUGUGAAUAUCUCACAAGUUUCACCAAAAAGAAAAUGUCUCCAAAUCUUAAGUGCAAAAACCACAGCAGCUAACUCCAAAUCAUGAGUAGGGUAAUUCCUUUCAUAAGGCUUCAACUGUCUAGAAGCAUAAGCUACAACUCUCCCAUGUUGCAUAAGAACACAACCUAAACCCUGAUGAGAAGCAUUACUAUACACCACAAAUCCUCCUGAACCUGAAGGGAUAGUCAAAAUAGGAGCUGACACUAAUCUAUUCUUCAACUCUUGGAAGCUACAUUCACAAUCAUCAGACCACUCAAACUUAACUCCCUUCUGUGUCAACUUAGUUAAAGGUAGGGCAAUCUUAGAGAACCCUUCUAUAAACCGCCUAUAGUAACCAGCAAGUCCCAAGAAACUUCGAAUCUCAGUCACAGUACUAGGUCUUCUCCAAUUAGCUACAGCAUCUACCUUGCCAGGGUCAACUGAGAUGCCAUCAUUGCUUACCACAUGCCCAAGGAAAGAAAUUCAGUCUAACCAAAACUCACACUUCUUCAGUUUAGCAUACAACUGCUUAUCUCUGAGGAUAUGUAAUACAAUACUCAAAUGGCCCUCAUGCUCCUCUCUACUUCUUGAGUAUACCAAGAUGUCAUCUAUAAAAACCACCACAAAUUGAUCUAAAUAGGGUUUGAAUACCCUAUUCAUCAAGUCCAUAAAAGCAGCAGGUGCAUUAGUCAAACCAAAAGGCAUAACAAGAAACUCAUAGUGCCCAUACCUAGUUCGAAAAGCAGUCUUGGGUACAUCUUCCCCUCUAACCCUCAACUGGUGAUAACCCGAUCAAAGAUCUAUCUUAGAGAACACACAAGCACCUUGUAACUGAUCAAACAAAUCAUCAAUCCGAGGAAGGGGAUACUUGUUCCUCACUAUCACCUUAUUCAACUCCCUAUAGUCAAUGCAAAGUCUCAUUGAGCCAUCCUUCUUUUUCACAAAUAGAACAGGAGCUCCCCAAGGUGAAACACUAGGCCUGAUAAAACCCUUGUCUAAUAACUCUUGAAGCUGAACUUUCAACUCCUUAAGCUCCACAGGUGCCAUCCUGUAUGGGGCCUUAGACAUAGGACCUAUUCCUAGUACUAGAUCAAUGGUGAACUCCACCUCUCUCUCUGGUGGCAAGCCAGACAAAUCCUCUGGAAAGACAUCAGGAUACUCUCUUACUAUAGGUAUGUCUUCCAACUUCAAAUCACUUUCAUUACUCACCAUACUAGCCAAAAAUCCUUGGCAACCCUUCUUAAGCAAGCUACUAGCACGCAAGGCUGAGAUCAUACGCAGUGGUCUGUCCACAUGCUUCCCUUCAAAGCUAAACUUAGGCUGACCAGGAAUACUAAAUGUCACUCUUUUCUCAAAACAGUCAACAGAGGCAUGGUAGGAAGCUAACCAAUCCAUACCCAAAAUCACAUCAAAAUCCUGAAGGUCAAGGAGUACUAAAUCAACUGGCAUUUCCCUAUAACCAAUCAUCACAAUACAAUUUCUAAGCAUUCUACUGGCCACAACAGAAUCUCCCACAGGAGUAGCAACAAUCAAAUCAAAGUCCAUGCUAACAACAGGCAAACCCAACAAACCAGCAAAAGAUACUGAAACAAAAGAGUGUGUUGAUCCAGGAUCAAUCAGACUCUAGCAAAUAAGGUGUGGAUUCGGAGAGUACCUGUCACCACAUCAGAAGUGGCCUGAGCAUCUCGAUGAGUCAUAGCAAACACCCGUCCUUGGGCUUUGGGUUUCUGUUUUAUCUCCUUAUUUUCCUCUUUAAGCUUCCCAGUGAUGAACUUACCUAUUCCUCUGAUCAAAUGUCCUUGCNNNNNNNNNNNNNNNNNNNNNNNNNNNNNNNNNNNNNNNNNNNNNNNNNNNNNNNNNNNNNNNNNNNNNNNNNNNNNNNNNNNNNNNNNNNNNNNNNNNNGUGAUAACCCGAUCGAAGAUCUAUCUUAGAGAACACACAAGCACCUUGUAGCUAAUCAAACAAAUCAUCAAUCCGAGGAAGGGGAUACUUAUUCCUCACUGUCACCUUAUUCAACUCCCUAUAGUCAAUGCAAAGUCUCAUUGAGCCAUCCUUCUUUUUUACAAAUAGAACAGGAGCUCCCCAAGGUGAAACACUAGGCCUGAUAAAACCCUUGUCUAAUAACUCCUGAAGCUGAACUUUUAACUCCUUAAGCUCCAUAGGUGCCAUCCUGUAUGGGGCCUUAGACAUAGGACCUGUUCCUGGUACCAGAUCAAUGGUGAACUCCACCUCUCUCUCUGGUGGCAAGCCAGGCAAAUCCUCUGGAAAGACAUCAGGAUACUCCCUUACUAUGGGUAUGUCUUCCAACUUCAAAUCACUUCCAUUACUCACCACACUAGCCAAAAAUCCUUGGCAACCCUUCUUAAGCAAGCUACUAGCUCGCAAGGCUGAGAUCAUACGCAGUGGUCUGUCCACAUGCUUCCCUUCAAAGCUAUACUUAGGCUGACCAGGAAUACUAAACGUCACCCUUUUCUCAAAACAGUCAACAGAGGCAUGGUAGGAAGCUAACCAAUCCAUCCCCAAAAUCACAUCAAAAUCCUGAAGGUCAAGGAGUACUAAAUCAACUGGCAUUUCCCUAUAACCAAUCAUCACAAUACAAUUUCUAAGCAUUCUACUGGCCACAACAGAAUCUCCCACAGGAGUAGCAACAAUCAAAUCAAAGUCCAUGCUAACAACAGGCAAACCCAACAAACCAGCAAAAGAUACUGAAACAAAAGAGUGUGUUGAUCCAGGAUCAAUCAAGACUCUAGCAAAUAAGGUGUGGAUUCGGAGAGUACCUGUCACCACAUCAGAAGUGGCCUGAGCAUCUCGAUGAGUCAUAGCAAACACCCGUCCUUGGGCUUUGGGUUUCUGUUUAUCCUCCUUAUUUUCCUCUUUAAGCUUCCCAGUGAUGAACUUCCUAUUCUCUGAUCAAAUGUCCUUGCUUCCCACAACCAAAGCAAGCUCCAGUCUCUCUAUAGCAUGGCCUACCCCCAUGCUUCUUACCACAAGUAGGACAAGCCCCAUCUAAAUUCUGCGCUGCCUUCCCUUUAUUCUGAUUUCUUCCUGAUGUAGACCUUCGCUGUGCUUGAUUACCAUGAGCACCAUCACUCCUAUUUCGCUUCCUUUGCUGUUCCCUAUACUGAUGAAGCUCUUCAUUAUCUUUCUCUGUUAUAAGGGCUCUGUCAACAACCUCUGAAUAGACACCAAGCUUCAGAAUAGAUAUCUUGUUCUUCAAAUAAGGCUUCAAUCCAUCCUGAAACUUUAAUGCCUUUUCCUCCUCUAUAGCAAUCAACUGUGGGGAAAAACGUGAUAACUUUGUAAAUUUGGCCUCAUACUGAGCCACAGUCAUAUCCCUCUGUUCCAAACGAAUAAACUCUCCCACCUUCUGCCACCUAACACUGUCAGGGAAAUACUUCUUGUAGAAAGCCUCCCUAAAUUGUCUCCAUGUUAUGGGUCCCUGAUCCUCCAAAAGUCUCUUAGUCAUACGCCACCAAUGAUCUGUCUCUUUAUCUAACAUAAAAGCUGCAUAAGAGGCUUUUUGCUCCUCAGAGCAAUCUAUGACACCAAAGAAUUUCUCCAUCUUAAGGAUCCAAGCCUCUGCCUCUGUGGGAUCUGUAGCACCAGAAAAGUAAGGAGGACCCAAUUUCUUGAAGUCAUCAAAAGAGCUACCCCUAGAAGAUGAAGACUGUCCCUGAACAUUAGUCCCAACAGCUCGAGCUUGGCGUUCAACUAAACCAACUAGUGUCCCAAGAUACCUAUAGAUCCCUUCUGCACUCACGGGAGGCAAACCCUCAAUUGGAGGUACAUCGUCAUUAGCCUGACUGUUUUGUGAAGAAGUUGUUCUUCUUGGUGGCAUGAUGUCCUAAAAUAAUAAGGCAUAACUAAAUUAGUCACUAAAGAACCAAUUAGAAAAUUUUCCAAUUAAAGAAAGAAUUGGAAUUUAUACUAAAUGAAACUAAAACUUAAACAAAUGCGUUACUCAUCUAUCCCUAAUCUAAACCAAUUCAAAUUCCCAUCAAGAUCAAAACCUAGUGCUCUGAUACCACUCUGUCACGCCCCAAGACCCACUCCAAGGGCGUGACGGUCAUUUCACACCUCAAACCCGAAGGCUUAAAGUAUAAUCUGACCCGAACAAUCAUAUUGUAACUAGAUGUUACCAAUUACCAAAUACCUGUUCAGAGUAGCGGAACAAAAUCUAAAUUCCUCAAAAUUCAAUUUCCAAAUAACUUCCAAAUAUCAAAGAUCCAAAUGAACAUAACUAACAGUUAAACAAAAUCCAACAUAAAAUCCUAAGUCAAAUCCUAAUGAUGACCAUUCUUCAGCCUAGCCAUCACUCCUCACCCGAACUAAGAGUACCUGAAAAUUUUCAACAAUUGGGAAUGAGUUCACAGCCCAAUAAGGAAUAUUAAUGCAAUUCAUGGAUCAAAUAUUUUCAUUUCAAAUAGGAGAUAUCAAUUUUUUUUUUUCUCAUCAAAUAUCAGAGUUCCAAAAAUACCAAUAUAUUCAAAAUUCAACCAACCAAUUUCAUAUCAAAUUCAAACACUUUCACAUAAGAUUCAAUCAAAUUCAUUCAAGUUUCAUUACUCUGGUUAUCAAAUAUCAAAUGCCCAGUUAGGUGAGACUUUUCAAAUGGGUGGCUAGCUUCAAAUUGUUCCUGGUGGACGAAACCAAACACUACUAGUACUAGUAACCUCUAACCAAACCCCUAGAGGCUGGGGUCCAAAUCAAUUACAUUCCCACCAUGAAAUGUAAAGGUCAACUAUUAUAUCUCGUUGACAGGGCCGAAUAGUCAACUAUUAUAUCCCGUUGACAAGGGUCAAAUAAACCAGAGUGAUGUUUUUGUUCAAGUAUUCAAAUGUACACAACAUAAUAUCUCCAUAUUUUGUGUCAUAAAUAAAACAAAAUAUUCCAACAUAACAUUUAGUGCAAAACAAUUUGAUCCAUGCAUGGUAACAAAAUAUCAUUUUCUUUUCCACAAUUCAAAAUAACAUAUAAGAUAAUUUAAUUUUAUAAAUAUUACAUUAACUUCCCUUACCUCAAAAGAAGUCCUUGAAAGCUUGGGAGAAGAAUAAUUCUGAAAAAAAAAUAUAAUCUACUCUUCACCUAAUAUAACAUAAAAGAAACAAUUAUUACUAUUUAUUUAUAAUUUAACUAAUCUAUUCCUUAUUUAAAAAAAAACUAAUAAAUUCCCAAUUUGUUUCUAAUAACACAUUACUAAUUUAAUUAAAUUAUAACUUUAUUUCGCUAUAAAAUUAUAUAUAUAUAUAUAUAUAUAUAUUGCUAAAUCUCUUAUUCUAUUUAUUACAAAAAUACCAUUAUUACUAUUAUCUUAUUUAUAAAUCUAAAACUAAUUAUUAUUAUUUAAUUAACCAAUUCCAAACCACUCAACCUCGGGUACACCAAACCAAAAAGCAAGUUUUUAUUUUUAUUUUUUAUUUUUUUUCAUUGCCAAUCAUGAUCCAUUAAUAUAUAUAUAUAUAUAUAAAAGGGGCUUCCUGGUACACGCACCUUUUUUUUUUAAUAAAAUUAACCCUAACCUAAAAUCAAAACCUUCCAAGAAAUUUUUUUUUUUUUCUAAUAAAACUUAAGAUCUCCCAAAUUCCAAUACUAAAAUCAAAAUAUUAAAUUUUCACUAUUUGAUAUUAAAACGAAUUAAAAAAAUAAUCUAACCCUAAUCUAGAUUUUGGGUUUUCCAAAAAAAUAUAUCUAAUGUGUUUGAAAUUAAUCAAUGAAUCUAAAAUAUUAAACUAGGGGUUAGAAUUUUACCUAUAGAGAUCUGUUCUUCAACCCUGAAAUCUGACUCCAAUCUUACGUUCUCUGGAAUUCUACGAACAAGAACUAUAUUCAGAAAAGAAGGGAAAAAAAUAAAAUUUCUAAUUUAUACCUAGGGUAUUUAUUCGUAAAAUUACACUUUUACCCUUCUUCCACUUUAUUAAAUUAAUUAAUUAAUUAAUUUAAUUAUUAAUAACAAUUUCCUAAAUUACCCUUAAAAGAAAAUGCUUGGGCGUUACAGAAACGGUGUUGAUCAUCCAAACCAUGAUUUUACCAGCAUCAGUUAAGAUGAGAUUGCCAUUCCUCAACAAAGAAAGCUUGGAGCCUCUACCGUUGACCGGUUGGUCAUGGUUCGCCAUCCAAACUGUGGUUGCACCCCAUGAUUUUGUGAACCAUAUGGCGAAGCAGAAAGUGUUGUUGCCGACCUGAUAAAACCCAGCAGAGAAUAUACCAUUUGCUGAAAUGAGAACAUCAUUUGAUUUCUCCACGGAAAGAGACGAGCCUUCGCUCAGAGUAUCAUACGUUUCAGAUGAAGAUGGAUAGCAAGUUAACAGCAAAACCAAAACAAAGAAACCAACUGUCCUAUCCAUGAGUUUUGGGAUAUGGUUCAUGUGCUCUGUUUCCUGAUCAGAUAUUUGCAAUGGAGAAUGCAAGUGUAUGGUGCUACCAGAGUUUAGAAAAUCAAUUGACUCCUUGACUGGGGUGAAGGGGGAAAAUUCACAUUGCCCCUCGGGCCAAGUUUUGCUUGUGCCAUCGUGUUGGGUUUCUAAAAGCAUUUCAUGUCAACGUCAAAAUAUGGGAUGAAGACCCGCUAUUUUUAAUGGGAUCUAUUUUGAUUGGAUGACUUGGGCCAUUCAAAUUUUGUAGUUUCCACUUGGAACAACAAAAUUAUUAUGAGAUACGUCAUUUUGAAGAAAGAUUCUAGAAAUAAGAUGUUAAAUUGAUCUCUUUUCCAUGUAGCUGAACUCGUCAACUGUGAGUCUGAGCCAUAUGAUUUCUGUGCCAUACAGAAGCUUAUUGUUCCAAGUUGCCUGCUCAAAGGUUAACCUGUGAACAGUUUGGAUCUAAAUACAAUGAAUGUGAUGAAAUUUACUGAAACCGGGACUCUCUGACUGGCCUGUGGCCUUUAUGAGUUUUAUUUUAGAGGUGACGUCUGAUGUUGAUUGGCCCAAGCAGGGAAAGAUCAAAUGGGAAACGACGGUCACAACUUGUGGGGUGACUUUCCACUCACCAGGGAACACUUCAAAGAAAUUAUCCCUAAUUUUUAAACGCUUAAUUAUUGCGAUUCGAGGGGUAAAACAUUUUCUUUUAUUGAAUCAAGAUUGAAUUUAAAAUAAUAGUGUUGGUAUUACUCCCUCUCUUUUAUCCUUUUCUUAUUCUAUCUAAUAGUGGUUUUCUCGCCGCCUUUGUGGGCCAAGAUGAACUAAUGCUAAGAAUUUUAUUCAUCUGCUUUCUUUCAAGACUCACUUAUUGAAUAUAAUAUCUCAAUAAAUAUAGAACCAUAUUUUGAUUAUAUUGGUACAAUUAUUGAUACAACUGUUGGCUCCGCUCAAGUCAUUUUGGCGUGGACUUUUAGGGUAUGGUAGAGUGGAGCUUGUAUCACUACUAAUUAUUAAAAUGGUUAAAGGAUGUCUUUGUCAUUUUAGUGCACAUAUAAUUAUUAUUACAAUUGAGGGUCCUCCAAUAUCCCAUUUUUCCAAUUUUGACUUUUGAUCGGAAAAAAUUUAGUAUACAAGGAUAGGAAAAUAUGCUAAAUAAAAUAAUUUUCUCAUAUUUAGGUUUAUUAAAAAUUAUAAAAAAUAAUAUAAUAUAAUAUAAUUAAAAAGUUAUGUAUUUUUAAAUUAGAUAAUUUUUUUAUAAAACAAUUAAAAUAAGUUAAAUGAGUUUGAAAUUCCAUAUAAAAAUAAUUUAUUGAUUUAAAAUCUAUUUUUAUUUCCUUUAACUUUUUUUCAUAUAUUUUUUUUUUGAAUUUUUCAAAUACUUCAAACAGCUAUUUUUAAGUUUGUAUCUUUGUGAAACUCGUGUAAUCGUGACCCAUGAGAACCUUCAAGUCAUUUUGAUUAUAUUGGUACAAUUAUUGGUACAACUGUUGGCUCCGCUCAAGUCAUUUUGGCGUGGACUUUUAGGUUAUGGUUGAGUGGAGCUUGUAUCACUACUAAUUAUUAAUAUGGUUAAAGGAUGUCUUUGUCAUUUUAGUGCACAUAUAAUUAUUAUUACAAUUGAGGGUCCUCCAAUAUCCCAUAUUUCCAAUUUUGAUUUUUCAAGGUAUGAUCGGAAAAAAUUUAGUAUACAAGGAUAGGAAAAUAUGUUAAAUAAAAUAAUUUUCUUAUAUUUAGUUUUAUUAAAAAUUGUAAAAAAUAAUAUAAUAUAAUAUAAUUAAAAAGUUAUGUAUUUUUAAAUUAGGUAAUUUUUUUAUAAAACAAUUAAAAUAAGUUAAAUGAGUUUGAAAUUUUAUAGAAAAUUAAUUUAUUGAUUUAAAAUCUAUUUUUAUUUUCUUUAACUUUUUUUCAUAUAUAUUUUUUUUUUUGUAUUUUUCAAAUACUUCAAGUAGCACCCCAUUUCCUAUUUUCAAGUUUGUAUCUUCGUGAAACUCAUGUAAUCGUGACCCAUGAGAACCUUCAAGUCAUUUUGAUUAUAUUGGUACAAUUAUUGGUACAACUGUUGGCCCCGCUCAAGUCAUUUUGGCGCGGACUUUUAGGGUAUGGUUGAGUGGAGCUUGUAUAACUACUAAUUAUUAAUAUGGUUAAAGGGUGUCUUUGUCAUUUUAGUGCACAUAUAAUUAUUAUUACAAUUGAGGGUCCUCCAAUAUCCCAUUUUUCCAAUUUUGACUUUUCAAGGUCUGAUCGGAAAAAAUUUAGUAUACAGAGAAAAUAUGAUAAAUAAAAUAAUUUUUUCAUAUUUAGUUUUAUUAAAAAUUGUAAAAAAAUAUAUAUAUAAUUAAAAAGUUAUGUAUUUUUAAAUUAGGUAAUUUUUUUUUAUAAAACAAUUAAAAUAAGUUAUAUGAGUUUGAAACUCCAUAUAAAAAUAAUUUAUUAAUUUAAAAUUUAUUUUUAUUUCCUUUAACUUUUUUUCUUAUAUUUUCUUUCGUAUUUUCCAAAUAUUUCAAAUAGCACUCUAUUCCCAUUUUCAAGUUUGUAUCUUUGUGAAACUCAUUUAAUCGUGACCCAUGAGAACCUUCCCAUAACUACAAAGGAAGGUGGCAACAUAUCAUUGGGAGAGUGUCUUAAGAGCCAAAAUUUGACUAGCGGUUGAAAGGAAAAUGCACAAUUAUUGUAGUGGACAAAUACUUUUAACCUCAUUUGUGGAAGCUAGGUUGUUUUUACAAGGGAAACUUGUGUUCCAAGUUAGAUAUUUGAAAGUAAUAUUAUAUUCAAACCCCAAUUAGCUGGAAUAUGAGAUUUGACUAUUAAAAGAGAAAAUAUUAUUGUGUUUGUGCAUUCUAAGUUGGCUCUAUCUUCUAUGCCCAAAUUGCCCUUUUGUUUCUCUAGCUCAACAUCAUCCUAACCUCUUUGUCAACAGGACCACUAAAAUUAAGAAAAAACACUAAAUUUUGAAUUUUUAACUUCUAAAAAAAAAAACACCCGACCCGACCACUUAAUUUGAAUGUUUUCCUUUCUCAUUUGGAAGCUUUCUCUCAUCUUUCUUCAUUCAUGACAACCCAAAAUUUCUCCUAUUUCAAUUUAGAAACCCAAAUCUGAAACUCUAAAACGGUGUCAAAAUGCGUCUUUUGACGUGCCUCUGGCUCAGAUGCCUCAGCUAGGCGUUUGCCUUGAGCCCUAACCGUAGUUAACUCUCGUCUAGGAGCCACGAGAGUGCAAGAGAAUCCAAUAAAAAUGAAAUGGAGCUCGGGUGGAGAGUAGAUGCCCAAAAACUGAAACCUUAACCUCCAAAUGCGUCUUAGACUCGCAAAUUCAUAUCCAAGAUAGUUCUAUAAGACAGAAAUAGCACCAAACAUCUCUUUUAGACCACCGAAUCGACGAAGCCCUUGAAGAACCAAAGGAAACGGUGCAAAAAAUGAAGCGCGGGAAACUCUUAAAGUAUUGGGUCUUGACAAAAAGAAUAUUAAGAAAAAUAGGUUUUUAAUAUCUUAUUUUAGUAUAAAAAUAAAAAAAUAAGAUAUAAUUAAAAACUUGUAUAUUUUUAAAUUAUUUGAUAUUUAUAUAAAAAAUAAUAUAUUAACUUAAAUAAGUUUAAGAUAGCAUAUAAAAUAAUUUAUCAGCUUUAAAUUUUUUUUUUACUUUUACAUGAUACUUAAAAAGGAAUAUAAAUAGAGAAACAAUAUACUAAAUAAAAUAAUUUUAUCUAUAUAUAAAAAUAAUUUAUUAAUUUAAAAUCUAUUUUUAUUUCCUUUUAACCUUUCUUUCCUUUUUUUUUUUUUUUUUCCAUAUUUUCCAAAUACUUCACAUAGCACUCCACUCCCUAUUUUUUUUUUCUCUCUAAAUUUCAGAAACCAAACAUAAAAUACAAACACUGGUGUAAAGUUUGUAUCUUUGUGAAACUCAUGUAAUCUUGACCCAUAGGAACCUUCCCAUAUAAUUAAAGGAGAAUUACCCAAUAGGGUGGGCUUGGUAAAACAAUUACUAGAAAUGGUAGUCUCUUCUAAUAAUUCUUGGGGAGGAUUUUAAUAGGUUUAAUAUACCAAAACUGUCAUUUAACUAAAAUUUUUAAAAUUCAAAGUAUUUAAAGCACUUCACUUGAUUUGUCGAUACAAUUAUAGUACAUGAGUCUCAUAUUUAUUGUAAUUAUUAAUAUUCAAAUUUUAAAUCAAAAUUUUGGGUUUAACCUUUACAAUUAUAUAUAAUUUGUUAUUUAAAUUUACUAUUUAAAACAAAAAUACUUUUAAAAAGUAUUUUCAAAAUAUCAUUUAUUGUUUUUUUUACAUUUUUUAUUUUUAUUCUAAUUUUUAAUUUUAUUAAGAAAAAAAUAAGUUUUAUAAUUAUAUAAUAAAAAUGAUGAUUUUUUCAUAUAUAUAUAUGUAUAUAUUAUAAUUUUAAAUUGAUAAAUUAUGUUUUUGUUUUAAAUUCAAGGAAGAUAAAAUGUUUAAUUUUUCAUUCAGAUUCUUUAAAAAGAAUAAGAAAAUGAUAGAGAAUGUUUAAUAAUUUUUUAUUUUUAUAAUAAAAUAAUUUUAAAAAAUUUAUAUGAUUUUUUUUCCUUUGCAUAGUGUUUUUUUUUUUUUCAUAUAAAAUUUUUUUUCUCAGUACAUCGACUGGAUGAUGUUAAUAUAUUUGAUAUGUUGAAUAUUAAUAAGGUAUAAAAGGUGAUCAUCGAGAUUAUUACUUUUAUUAUAAAAUAUAGGUACAACAAAAAUAUGUUAUAAUUACCAUAUAAAUACACUUACAUUACAAUAAAACCUAAUUAGGAAAUUUUUGAAUUUUUUUAUAAAAAUGAUAAUUUGGUAAGAUCAUACCAUAUUUUAUAACAUACCUAUAUCAUAAAUAAUUUCUGAAACCAAAUGAAAUACUAAUUUGAAUUCACGAGACUUGUAGUUUAUAUAUAUAAAUGAUUAAAUAAUUUCAAAACACUAAAUAAAUGUUGUUAAUAUAUUGAUACGAUGCGUUAAUACCAACGGGGUAUGAAUAAACAUUUUUAAAAUUAUUCCUUUUGUAAUUAAAUAUAGAUAUGACAUAAAUACAUUAUACUUACAAUAUAAAUACGUGUUAUCAUUACAAUAUAUUACAAUAUAAUUUAAUUUAUUUUUAUUUAAUUUUUUCAAGUGUUAUAUUAUCCAAUGAAUAAUUGUGAGUUAUUCUAUUUAAUAGGUGUGUGUUAAUCAAUUGAAUAUUUACAUAUUAUUCAAUUGAUGAGUGCUCGUAAAAAAUAAUUAUUCAUUAUAUUAUGAUAACAAAGUUUUUAAUUAUAUGUUUUAUAUAUAAAACAAUAUAAUAAUUUUAGGAUAUGGUUUUUAUUUAUGAGAUAAUGAAAAUUAUAUUUUUUUAUAAGGUUCUUUAUAAAAUAUAGCAAAUUUUUAAAUAAUCAUUUGAUUGUUCAAAAGUUAAUAAUAAUUUUUUUAAGCUGAGAAAUAUAUUAUUGAUUACUUAUCAUCAUGCAUGAAUUCCACAACAAUCUCAAUUUAUUUAUAAAUAAUAUAAAAACAUAUUAUAGGUAAAAUUAUCUAUAACCGAGAGAGCCUUCAUAAUAAUUAGUUUUUUGGGCUACCCUGUUCGGUAAUUCUCCGUACAAUUAAUUUCCAGCAAAGGCAGGUGAGUGUUGAGGAGACAAAAUCUGACCCGCUGUUGAAGGGAAAAUGCACAAUUAUUGAAGUGGACGGAAACUUUUAACCUUAUCUGUGGAAGCUGGGUCGUUUUUCAAAACACGAGGCUGCAGCUUGGAACCUGGGGCAUUCUAGCUUUCAUCUUCCCAUGGGAAUUUCUACCCUCCGCACAAGUCAAGAGCAACUUUGUCUUUUCCAUAAAUAUUAGUAUUAUUUGUGUGUUCCUUACCUGAAUUUGAUUCAAGCUUAGCCCUACGGCCUUUUCAACUGAUCCAAUUUCAUAGAUCACAUGGAUGCGCCAGUUCUUUUGCUUCUUCUCACUCUGCUUCUAUCUUCUCCACUUCCAUCGUCCACCCUCGACAGUUUGAGUCAAGGCUCAUCCCUCUCAGUUGGGAAGCCUGAACAAGUUUUGAUUUCACAAAGUGGAAUCUUCUCAGCUGGCUUCUACCCCGUCGGUGAUAAUGCUUGUUGUCUUGCCAUAUGGUUCACCAAACCAUCCUACGACGGCAAACAUACCGCUGUUUGGAUGGCAAACCGAAACCAACCAGUUAAUGGGAAUUUCUCAAAGCUUUCCCUUCUAGAAAGUGGUGAUCUUAUCUUAACAGAUGCUGGGCGGUUCAUAGUUUGGACCAUAAAGAGGGUUGGGAUUUCUCCGGUGCAAUUACACCUCUUCAACACUGGUAACCUUGUGCUGCGUACCUCGGAUGGUGUUAUUCAAUGGCAAAGUUUCGAUUCACCAACAGAUACCCUUCUCCCUCACCAACCACUCACCAGAAAUACGAGACUCGUCUCUUCAAGAACCAAAACCAACUUUUUCUCAGGGUUUUAUAAGCUCUAUUUUGACAACAAUAACGUCCUCAGUCUUGUCUUCGAUGGGCGGGAUGCUUCAAGCAUUUACUGGCCCCCAUCGUGGCUUGUAAGCUGGCAGGCGGGAAGAUCGGCAUACAACAGCAGCAGAACUGCAUUACUAGAUUACUUUGGCUAUUUUUCUUCAACCGACGAUUUUAAGUUUCAGUCCUCGGAUUUUGGUGAGAGAGUCCAAAGAAGAUUGACCCUGGAUAUUGAUGGCAACUUACGAUUAUACAGUUUUGAGGAAGGGAGAAAUAAGUGGGUUGUUACUUGGCAAGCCAUCACGCUACAAUGCAACAUUCAUGGAAUAUGCGGACCCAACAGUAUUUGUACCUAUGUGCCUGGUUCUGGGAGUGGAAGGAGAUGCUCUUGCGUACCUGGAUAUGAGAUGAAAAAUCGCACUGACCGAACUUAUGGAUGCAUACCAAAAUUCAAUCUUUCUUGCGACUCACAGAAGGUUGGUUUCCUCCCACUCCCACACGUUGAGUUCUACGGCUAUGAUUAUGGCUAUUACCUCAAUUACACCUUACAGAUGUGUGAAAAACUGUGCUUGAAAAUAUGUGGCUGCAUAGGAUAUCAAUACAGCUAUAAUUCGGAUGUUUAUAAAUGUUGUCCUAAGCGGCUGUUUCUCAACGGAUGCCGCUCGCCUAGUUUUGGAGGACAUACAUAUCUAAAAUUGCCUAAAGCUAGUCUUCUUUCCUAUGAAAAACCAGUUGAGGAAUUCAUGUUAGAUUGCUCAGGCAACCGCUCAGAGCAGCUAGUAAGAUCUUAUGCAAAAGCCCGCGAAAAUGAAGUGUUAAAGUUCAUCCUCUGGUUUACGUGCGCAAUUGGAGCAGUUGAGAUGAUUUGCAUCAGUAUGGUGUGGUGUUUCUUGAUGAAGGCCCAGCAAAACACCAGUACAGAUCCGCCAGGCUACAUUUUAGCUGCCACGGGAUUCAGAAAAUUCACCUAUAUUGAGCUGAAGAAAGCAACACGGGGUUUCAGUGAGGAGAUUGGCAGAGGAGGGGGUGGGGUUGUAUAUAAAGGUGUCUUAUCAGACCACCGAGUGGCAGCCAUCAAGCAGCUCAGUGGAGCUAACCAAGGAGAAUCUGAAUUCUUGGCAGAAGUAAGUACCAUUGGGAGGCUUAACCACAUGAACUUGAUAGAGAUGUGGGGUUAUUGCUUUGAGGGGAAGCACAGGCUCUUGGUUUAUGAAUACAUGGAGCAUGGAUCACUAGCACAAAACCUCACUUCCAAUACACUUGAUUGGCAGAAGAGGUUCGAUAUUGCGGUGGGCACAGCAAAAGGUCUGGCUUAUUUACACGAAGAGUGCUUGGAGUGGGUUAUACACUGCGAUGUGAAGCCUCAAAACAUACUCCUAGACUCUAAUUAUCAGCCAAAGGUGGCAGACUUCGGCCUGUCAAAGUUACAGAACAGAGGAGGAAUCAACAAUUCGAGAUUGUCGAGGAUCAGAGGAACGAGAGGUUACAUGGCUCCAGAAUGGGUUUUGAACCUCCCCAUCACCUCCAAAGUAGACGUUUAUAGCUAUGGUAUUGUGGUUCUGGAGAUGAUUACCGGCCUAAGAAGUGUUGCAAAUGCCAUCCACGGUACAGAUGGCAUAGGGGAACGUCAGAGUUUGGUGGCAUGGGUGAAAGGGAAGAUGAAUAGUGCAACUGCAGUUGCUUCGUGGAUUGAAGAAAUCCUAGACCCGUCGAUGGAAAGCCAAUAUGACAUGGGUGAGAUGGAAAUUCUAGUAGCAGUGGCUCUGCAAUGUGUGGAAUUGGACAAGGAUGAAAGACCCACCAUGAGUCAGGUGGUCGAGACGCUUCUCCGCCCUGAACGUGGAAACAAUCAUCACUAUUAAUAAAUCAAUGCCUCGUAUGGGGCCCAAGUGAAGUGGCUUUCUAUACCUAUUCCGCCCAUUUAUGAUAUUUGUAAAAAAACAGAGUAAUUUUAUUCCCAAUAUCUCUCCUUGGUGCUCUUAUCUUAUUAAACUCCUUUUUUUUUUUUUGCAAUAUUAACUAUUAUAUUUUAUAAAAUCCUUUUUAAAAUUUGUUGAAUUUGAUCUAUUUUAUCCUCACAUAAUUUGUAGCAGGAGAAGUUUUUCUCCUCAUCAUAGAACAAAUUCUUAUAUAUGUAGUAUACAUAUAUGAAAGGUAUAAAUGGUUUUAGCUUUAGUUGAUAUCAUAUAAUUUCUCAUUGAAUCUAUUCUAAUGUGACUUUAAAAUUUUUCAAAAUAUAAAUCAAUUCCUCUUCCUUUGUGUGUUAGUGAAUGAAUUAGUUUAAAUGUCAUAGGUUUUGACUUUUUAGACAGCUAUUUAACCUAUUUUAAAUAGCUCUGCAUCACACCAUCACUUCAACCUUCCUUGACAUUUUUUUAUUUAUUUAUUUUAAUUACCUUUGGAUGGUAUCAUUGCUCGGAAAAAUUUGAUGAAUGUAAAAGGGAAAUGGAAAAUCGUGGGGCACACAUACAUUAUGGAGUCAAAAUCUUUGAAAGAUGUAAAAUUGUCGUGCAAUUCAAUCUAAUGUAGAUGGACAAAAAUGUCAUCUUAUUGAUCAAGCAUAGAUGGAAAAUCAAAUGAAUGAGCCACCCUGCAAAUGUUUAUUUUCAAGUAUUUCUUUUUUUUUUUCAACUUAAGACCUCUUUUUGGAAAUUUAUUAUUAAAAAUAUUUUAAUCUCUAAUUUUUUAUAAGUGUCUUUUCAUAAGCAUGUUGAUUAGAAAGAAACAAAAAUAUAUUUUUAAAUUAUUUAAUCUAACACAAGAAAGACAAGUAAAAUUUUAUAAAAAUAAUUUAUUAAUUUUAAAUUUAUAUUUUAUUUUCAUUCAUUUGACAUACCUUCAAUAAUUAGUAUAAAUUAAUAUAAAUGUUUUAUAUAAUUCGUUUACAUGCAUUGUAUAUUAUGUACAAACAGGAACAAAAUGAAUGAGCCACUGUAUGUGACAAAUAAAUACAUUUUUAUAAAAUCUAAAUUUAAUUUUAUAGUAUAUGACAUGGAUUCUGGCGUCAUCUUCCACAUCACUGAACUUCUUCUUUACCUAUUUCAUUGUUCUCUGCUUCCAACGCUUCCCACUAUGAACGUCUCUAGAAAAAACUGUCCGGUGUGGCUCUCCUCUUGGCUCUACCACAGUUGAGAUUUUCGGCUUGAUGCCUUCGCUCUAUCUCAGGUGGUCGGCUUUGGAGCAUGGAUGGCUGCAGAUCUGCCAAGUUGUUGGCCAUGAAUCUCCCGAAUCCACUUGCUGCUAACCGUUUGUAUUAUUCAAUUGUUGAAGGCCGAUUUGAGUUGAAAGGCCAAUGGGCCAUGGGAAGCAAUGGUUGCUUCACCCAAUUUUUUAAAAUUCGUUUUAAGUAAUACCAAAAUUUUUAUUGUAUGAAGUAUUGAUGUUAUUAUUAUCUUUUCAUAUUGAUUUUAUUUUUUAAUUUUUUUUUCUUAGGAUUUUUUUUCUUUUCACUUUUUCUCCCACCUUUCUUUUAUUUAUAUUUUCUCAUAAUCAAAUAUGGCCUUAAAUUUAAUCGCAAGCAAAGUGUUAUGUAGACAAUUAAUAUGUUCUUACUAUUUUGCUUUUAUGGCCAUUAAAUUUAAGGACUUCAGGUGAUGGCAAUAGGGUGAUUUUUUUUAGGUAAUAGUCCAACCUGCUUCUAAUAGGAUGAGUUUGAAAUUUAAAUAAAUGAGUUUGAAGUAAAUUUAAGUUUUUUUAAACUCAAAAUGAGUUUGGAUAUUGUCACAUCCCAAUUAUAUAUAAAAUUAAUUUAAUUUGAUUUUUUAUUUUUUUAUUUUUAAUAAUAAUAAUAAUAAAAAAAUACUUUUUUAAUAAAAUAAGUUAUAAAAAUUUAUAAUAAUCUAAUUAUAUAAAAUAUCUUUAUUUUAAUGUAAUUAAAUACUCUAAUAAGUUAUAAAAAUUUAUAAUACUCUAAUUAUAUAAAAUACAUUUUAAAUAAUUUUAAAUGAGGUAAGGUAGGACGAGUAUGAGAAUUUUUUUUACCUAUCCCACCCCGUCCUGUCAUGUUUAAUUUUUUUAAUGGUACAAGGUUGGAAUAUGUGCUUUCUAUUCUAAACCGGUCUCAUUAUCAUCCCUUCAUGUGUCUGCAUGAAUAUAAGAUAUUAGUGAAAAGUUUGAAGUAUGAUAUUAAAAAUUCAAUUCACCAUUUAUUUUGUAAUUAUACUUCUAAAUAUAAGCAUGAAAGGGCGAAUUGACAUAAUAGAAGGCCUAACUGCUCAUGUUUUUAUUUAUUUAAAUUAAUAUUUAUUAAUAAUUUAUUUAUGUAAUAAAAAAUUUGUAAUUCAAAAUUUGAUUUUACUAAGUGAAGUACCUGAUGUCCAGAACUGGAGGAACCUAAAGAAAGAGAAGAACAAAAAGUGACACCAAGACAUAUCCCAAAAGCCUAAUGGCCCAUCCCCCUACAAAUUCUAGCUUUAUAAUUAUUGUCCUAAAAGAAAAAGAUGAACAAGUGUUUUUUCGUCAUAUAAUGUUAAAAAAUUAAAGUAUCAAUUUUUUUUUUUUAAACUUUCUACCAAAAAUAAUUUAAUUUCAUAUUUCUAAUUGUUUUUUUUAAACCUUUUGUCACUUAUUAUUUAUUUUUUAAAUAUUUUUACUAAAUUUAAAAAGAAAAAAAUAUAUAUAUUUUAAAUAUUAAAAAUAAUCUAUUAAUUUUUCUUUACUUAAUAAAAAUAAUAUAUUUAAAAAAAUAAAUAACUUAAUAAUUAAUAUUAUUAAACACUAUUUAAUUUUAAAUUCAAUUUACAAUUAAGUUUAAAAAACACCACUUAAAUGUCAUUAUUGCAACGGACAACAACAUUAACUCUACUCUUUUAUAAAAUCUUUUAUUUUAGGAAAUUUUAAUUUCCAAAUGAAGUAGUUAAGAGAAAAAUAAACAUUGUGGUUGAACUUAAUCGAAAUAAAUAAACCAUAAAAAAACACUUGAAUGGAUUAAGGACCCUUUUUUUACGCCAAGGUGGUGGUGAUAUAUUGAUUUGAGUAAGAAUUUUAUAAUUUCCCAAAAGAAAGAUAAAGUGGAAAAGCAACAUUUAUUAAAAGAUAGAUACAUUAGAAUAUCAUAUCUAAAUUUAGUAUUUUUCUUUUCUCUUCUUUAUAAAACUAAAUAAUAGAAAUCAAAUACUUUUUCCAACUUCUCGUACUGAACCGUUUCGUUUUUCAUUUCAUCUAAUUUUACCUUCAAUUCAUUUCUUUCCUAUUUUAUUUCUUGAAACAUGUAUUGACUAAAACCUCUGUACCAAUGUUUCAGGACAUGAAGAGGUAGCCAUCCUGCUCCGCCCUCUCCUCCGGGCACAUAAGCUUCUCAACUACCUGGCUCAUCGUGGGUCUUGAGUCCCUGUCUUCCUCUACACAUUCCAAGGCAACUCCAAUCAGAAUUUCCAUCUGGCGCAUGUCGCAUUCGCCUUGCAUCACAGGGUCCAGGAUGUCUUCAAUCCACGACCCCCUGGCACCAAUCCCAUUCAUUCGAUCCCUCAUCCAUUUAAUCAACCCACGCUGCUCUGUCUCUCCUUGGGCAUCAGUAUCGGAGAUAGCAGUUGGGCUCUUCCCUGUCACCAUCUCCAAAACUACGAUUCCAUAGCUAUAAACGUCUACCUUGGAGGUUAUGGGAAGGUUGAAUACCCAUUCAGGAGCCAUGUAUCCUCUGGGUCCUCUGAUCCUCGAGAAACUUGAAUUGUCAAGCCCUCCUCUGUUACGCAGUUUCGACAUCCCAAAAUCGGCCACUUUUGGCUGGUAAUUAGAGUCCAAGAGUAUGUUCUGAGGCUUGACGUCACAGUGCAGAACCCACUCCAAGCAUUCUUCGUGUAAAUAAGCUAGGCCUCUGGCCGUGCCAAGCGCUAUUUGGAACCUCUUCUCCCAAUCAAGAGUAUUGGAAGAUAGCUUUUGUGCCAAGGAUCCAUGUUCCAUGUACUCAUACACCAAAAGCCGGUGCUUCCCCUCUAUGCAAUAUCCCCACGUCUCUAUUAAGUUCAUGUGAUUAAGCCUUCCAAUGGUGCUCACUUCUGCUAGAAAUUCUGCUUCUCCUUGAUUGGCUUCUUUGAGGCGCUUGAUUGCUGCCACUCGACGAUCAAGCAAUACACCUUUAUAUACCAUUCCUCCACCUCCUCUUCCAAUCUCUUGGGUGAAACCUCGCGUGGCCUUCUUCAACUCUGCAUAACUGAAUCUUUUAAACCCGUUUGCAGCGAGGAUGUAGCCUUGCAUGGUGGAGACUGGAUCAUGGUGUACCCUAACUAAGAAAAUCCAUACCAGCAAGACAAUUGCCGUCUCUACAACUCCCAGUACGAAGGCAAACCAUAGCAAAAACUUCAAUGACCCAUUUUCAUGGCCCUUGCGAUAUGUUGUAUCUAGCUGUAUAUAACGAGUGUUGCCUGAACAAUUUAUGGUGAAUUCUUCAAGGGGAUCAUAUCUGGGAAAGAGACUAGCUUUAGGCAGUUUUAGAUACAUGGUUCCAGGGUAAUUUGGCGAACUGAAUCCAUUAAGCAAGAGGGUCUUUGGGUAACAAUUGUAAAGGCCGUCGCUAAAAUUUAGCAGGAAGGCCUUGCAUUUGCACAACUGUAAGCAUAGAUUUUCACACCUUUCAUAGGUGUAGUUGGGGUAGUGACCAUAGUCAUAGCCGUAGAGUUGAACAUGAGGGAGUGGGAAGAAGCCCACCUCAGUUUGGUUACAAGCGAUAUCAGUUUCUGGUGCACACCCAUAAGACCAGUCAGUUGAAUUUACAAUCUUGAAUCCAGGCAUGCAAGAGCAUCCUCUGCCAUAAGCAGGGGUGUAACUGCAGAGACUGUUGGGUCCGCAGAUGCCAUGAAUCUGGCAUGGUUGGGAGAUAGCCUGCCAUGAAACCGACCAGGUUCCUCUCGUUUCUUCUAGACUAUACAUUCUAAGAUUGCCAUCGAAAUCGAGGGCCAAUCUUCUCUGAGGCCCCGCCCCAAAAUCCGCUGACCGAAAUUCCAAAUCAUCUGAUGCUCUAUAAUAACCCAAAGAAUCGAAUACUGCGAUUCGACUGUCGUUGAAUGUUUUCCUUCCAGCAUCCCAGGUCACCAGGCUUGGGUCUGGCCAGUAGAUGCUGGAAACCUCAGUACCAUUGAAGAGAAGGCGGACGACGUUAUCACUGUCAAAAAAUAGCUUAUAAAAACCAGAAGAAUAGUUGCUUUGGCUUCUUGAUGAGAUAAGGCUGGUAUCUUUGGUCAGUAUCUGGUGAGGAAGAAGAGUAUCUGUGGGUGAGUCAAAGCUCUGCCAAAUCACCGUCUUCUCCCAAGCAUACAGUACAAGAUUGCCUGUGUUAAGGAGCUGUAAUCUCACAGAGGAGGUUGAAACGGUGUUGAUCAUCCAAACCAUGAUUUUACCAGCAUCAGUUAAGAGGAGAUUGCCAUUCCUCAACAAAGAAAGCUUGGAGCCUCUACCGUUGACCGGUUGGUCACGGUUCGCCAUCCAAACUGUGGUUGCACCCAAUGAUUUUGUGAACCAUAUGGCGAAGCAGAAAGUGUUGUUGCCGACCUGGUAAAACCCAGCAGAGAAUAUACCAUUUGCUGAAAUGAGAACGUCACUUGAUUUCUCCGCAGAAAGAGAUGAGCCUUCGCUCAGAGUAUCAUACGUGUCAGAUGAAGAUGGAUAGCAAGUUAAUAGCAAAGCCAAAACAAAGAAACCAACUGUCCUAUCCAUGAGUUUUAAGAUAUGGUUUAUGUGCUCUGUUUCUCGGAUAUUUGCAAUGGAGAAUACAAGUGCAUG